CAGUAGCCGCGGUAAUACAGAGGGUGCGAGCGUUAAUCGGAUUUACUGGGCGUAAAGCGUGCGCAGGCGGUUAUAUAAGACAGAUGUGAAAUCCCCGGGCUCAACCUGGGAACUGCAUUUGUGACUGUAUAGCUAGAGUACGGCAGAGGGGGAUGGAAUUCCGCGUGUAGCAGUGAAAUGCGUAGAUAUGCGGAGGAACACCGAUGGCGAAGGCAAUCCCCUGGGCCUGUACUGACGCUCAUGCACGAAAGCGUGGGGAGCAAACAGGAUUAGAUACCCCAGUAGUCCCUGUCUCUUAUAC
rnacentral:rRNA from 1 species